GGCCGCCAUUGUCAUGGAAACAGGGCAAAUGUUUAACAUUGAGCCUAUGGACAAAUACAUAAAAGCUGCAUUUUCUUUAAGAAUAUUGCAUAGAGAUCAAUGAAACUGUAUUGAUAUAUAACAUGACAUAUGGCAAUGAGAUGCCUGCUUUUAGAAUUUUGGAAUUAUCUACUGUAACCAUGGAAACAGUAAAAAUAUCAAAAUUUCAAAAAAAAAUCAAAAUGCUGCAAACUGGAUGAAACUUUACAGAAAUGAUAACUGGCAUGGGCAGAAUUGCAUUUUGGAGUUGGAAAUUUCAAAAUGGCCGCC
rnacentral:lncRNA from 1 species